rnacentral:rRNA from 1 species
GCCUACGGGGGGCAGCAGUGAGGAAUAUUGGUCAAUGGGAGAGAUCCUGAACCAGCCAAGCCGCGUGAGGGAAGACGGCCCUAUGGGUUGUAAACCUCUUUUGUCGGAGAACAAAACCCGGGACGUGUCCCGGACUGCGUGUAUCCGAAGAAAAAGCAUCGGCUAACUCCGUGCCAGCAGCCGCGGUAAUACGUAGGGGGCAAGCGUUAUCCGGAUUUACUGGGGGUAAAGGGGGCGCAGACGGCGAUGCAAGCCAGGAGUGAAAGCCC